CAGCCGUAAACUAUGCUUCGCUAGGUGUCAGGGACGGUGCGACCGUUUCUGGUGCCGCAGGGAAGCCGUGAAGCGAGCCACCUGGGAAGUACGGUCGCAAGGCUGAAACUUAAAGGAAUUGGCGGGGGAGCACUACAACGGGUGGAGCCUGCGGUUUAAUUGGAUUCAACGCCGGAAAUCUUACCGGGACCGACAGCAACAUGAAGGCCAGGCUGAAGACUUUGCCGGAUUAGCUGAGAGGUGGUGCAUGGCGUAGACGUCU
rnacentral:rRNA from 1 species